UGGACAGAUUAUUGUAUUCGACUGUAUUCACGACGUGAAAUAGGGGAUUACACUGUUUUUAAACGGAAAGUGAAUCAAUUAACAUAAUAGACUCCU
rnacentral:pre_miRNA from 1 species